rnacentral:rRNA from 1 species
GACGAACGCUGGCGGCGUGCUUAACACAUGCAAGUCGAACGGAAAGGCCCUGCUUUUGUGGGGUGCUCGAGUGGCGAACGGGUGAGUAACACGUGAGUAACCUGCCCUUGACUUUGGGAUAACUUCAGGAAACUGGGGCUAAUACCGGAUAGGAGCUCCUGCUGCAUGGUGGGGGUUGGAAAGUUUCGGCGGUUGGGGAUGGACUCGCGGCUUAUCAGCUUGUUGGUGGGGUAGUGGCUUACCAAGGCUUUGACGGGUAGCCGGCCUGAGAGGGUGACCGGCCACAUUGGGACUGAGAUACGGCCCAGACUCCUACAGGAGGCAGCAGUGGGGAAUAUUACACAAUGGGCGGAAGCCUGAUGCAGCAACGCCGCGUGCGGGAUGACGGCCUUCGGGUUGUAAACCGCUUUCGCCUGUGACGAAGCGUGAGUGACGGUAAUGGGUAAAGAAGCACCGGCUAACUACGUG